rnacentral:misc_RNA from 1 species
CACUUUUAUACCUUCCAUUGCUCACUAUCUGCAGUGUGUCGCCAAUAUUGAUGACCAAAGCACCAGGGAUUGGUGGGAUCUCCAUCCACUCACCCUUUUUCUGGCCAUUAAUGUUUUCUUCCACUUUUACAUAUAGUCCACCAAUACCAUCUUGCAACAACACAGUAAUUGUACCCAAAUCUGAAUGACGACCCACGCCAACAGUGAGCUCAGGAUUUGGACAUGCUGGGUAGAAGUUCAUGUUAACUGUCUUCAAGCCAGUUAAGGCAUCCAUUUUUGCAUCAUCUAGUGUCACUCCAAGGUUCCCCAUCAAAACUUCAAGUAGUUUUCUCACCAUCUUGAUUGAUGUUCUUAGAUACUUAAGAGCGACUUCCUUGCAUUCCUUAGGCCAAAAUUCAAGUGCUUCAGUAUCGUUAGUGUAGAUCAUGUUAACAUAAUCUUUCCACUCUAAUGUCUUCUCUUUCUCUGGAGAAAAACUCGUCCCAUACUUCACCAAUGGGCCUUUGCGAUAGGUAGCCUUCUUUUCAGGUGGUUGGCCGAAGAAAUUGUGGGCUGCGUCUUUCAGAGACUCCAGCAGCUCUACGGGCACGCCAUGGUUCACUACCUGAAAGAAGCCUAAAUUCUCAGCGGCUUUAACAAUCUCCUGCACAACUUGGUCAUGAUGAGGACCAUCAAGCUUGGACAAGUCGAUUGGUGGGUUAUCAUUUAAUGUGGCAUUGGACUUGUCUAUUCUUUCUCGUUGGGGUUGCACAUAUUGUUGUGGAACCUUGGUUAGGCCUGAGUCCACCAAGCCCUUUACACCAUUGCCGUCUCGGACGACAAAAUUGAACAAUGAGUCUGAAUCAGAAGAACUUGGAGCUGCUGGAGCCAUUGUAUGGGUAAUUAAGAUAAGUGGGGAAAUCACUUUUCUC